AAAUACACAGCAGAACAGCAAAGGCAGCCAUAUCAUCGUGCCUCUCCCCUCUGUAACGUUUGAGGCAGUGACAGGUUUUGCCAGUAAAUUUCUACAGUCAGCGUCUGUAAAUGAGGAAGUAGGGUUGUUUUGGACAAGGGCAGCAAGCAUUGAAACACCACCACCUGCAGGUUCCUCUCUGAGUGACACACUAUCCUAACCUGGAAACAAAUCACCAUGUUCUCUAAUUCCUGGAGUCAAAGAUCAGAGGGCACAGCUUUUACGUAAGAGGGGCUGAGAUUAAAUGAGAUUUGUGAAUCAA